UAUAAACUUAUACUCUAAUUAAUGUUAAUUUAGAGUUAUUUUGAUAUUGAUUUUUAAUUUUAGGGUGAAAUCAGAAAUUAUUUUUAUUUAAACUCUAAAUUUUAAGAUUUAGUAAACAAACCAGAUUAGUACCUGGUUAGAUAAAAUUUAAAAGAGCAGGAGUAAAGUUAUAUUUAAACUGUAAGAAUAUUGGCAGGUUUUUAAAUUAUCUUUGGAGGCUGAGUAGUGAUUGAGAGCCCUCAUUUUCAACUUUUUCUUUAGGCGCAUGUAUGAUCGUUUAUUUUAUUCUUAAGGAUUGUAAUUUUAGUCUUUGCUAUAAAAAUAGAUAGAUAUCUGGCUUAUGAGAAAGAUUUAAUUUGGCCUACAAUAAUUUAAUUUUUGGAUUCUAGUUUUAGAGGCUAGAUGAAAUUGUAAAAGACAGUAAGUUGCUUUUAAUGGGUGGCUGAAGUUUAUUUAAAAACGGUACAAAUCAUCCAUCAAUUGCCUAUAAG
rnacentral:ncRNA from 1 species